UUACGACCACAUCACGUUGAAACACCAGUUCCCGUACGAUCCCCGAGGUUAAGCAACGUCGAUCCUGGUCAGUACCUAAGAUGGGUGAUCGCUUGGGAAUACCAGAUUCUGUAA